UUAAGUGAAUAAGGGCGCACGGUGGAUGCCUUGGCACUAGGAGCCGAUGAAGGACGGGACUAACACCGAUAUGCUUUGGGGAGCUGUAAGUAAGCUAUGAUCCAGAGAUUUCCGAAUGGGGGAACCCAGCAUCUUUUAUAGGAUGUUACACAGUUGUGAAUACAUAGCAGCUGUGAGGUAGACGCAGAGAACUGAAACAUCUAAGUACCUGCAGGAAGAGAAAGAAAAUUCGAUUCCCUGAGUAGCGGCGAGCGAAACGGGAAAAGCCCAAACCAACAAGCUUGCUUGUUGGGGUUGUAGGACUCCGAUAUGGUAGUUGAAACAGAUAGUCGAAAUACUUGGAAAAGUAUGUCAAAGAGGGUAAAAACCCCGUAGAUGAAAUCUGGCUCACACCUAGGAGGAUCCUGAGUACGGCGGAACACGAGGAAUUCCGUCGGAAUCCGGGAGGACCAUCUCCCAAGGCUAAAUACUCCCUAGUGACCGAUAGUGAACCAGUACCGUGAGGGAAAGGUGAAAAGCACCCCGGAAGGGGAGUGAAAUAGAUCCUGAAACCGUGUGCCUACAACAAGUUAGAGCCCGUUAAUGGGUGAUAGCGUGCCUUUUGUAGAAUGAACCGGCGAGUUACGAUUACUUGCGAGGUUAAGUUGAAAAGACGGAGCCGCAGCGAAAGCGAGUCUGAAUAGGGCGAAUGAGUAAGUGGUCGUAGACCCGAAACCAUGUGAUCUACCCAUGUCCAGGUUGAAGGUGCGGUAAAACGCACUGGAGGACCGAACCCACGUACGUUGAAAAGUGCGGGGAUGAGGUGUGGGUAGCGGAGAAAUUCCAAACGAACUUGGAGAUAGCUGGUUCUCUCCGAAAUAGCUUUAGGGCUAGCCUCGGAAUUGAGAAUGAUGGAGGUAGAGCACUGUUUGGACUAGGGGCCCAUCUCGGGUUACCGAAUUCAGAUAAACUCCGAAUGCCAUCCAUUCAUCUCUGGGAGUCAGACUGUGAGUGAUAAGAUCCAUAGUCGAAAGGGAAACAGCCCAGACCACCAGCUAAGGUCCCCAAAUAACUAUUAAGUGGAAAAGGAUGUGGGGUUGCACAGACAACUAGGAUGUUGGCUUAGAAGCAGCCACCAUUUAAAGAGUGCGUAAUAGCUCACUAGUCGAGUGACCCUGCGCCGAAAAUGUACCGGGGCUAAAUAGUUUACCGAAGCUGUGGAGUGCACCAUAAGGUGCAUUGGUAGGAGAGCGUUCUAAGGGCGUUGAAGGUAGAUCGUGAGGACUACUGGAGCGCUUAGAAGUGAGAAUGCCGGUAUGAGUAGCGAAAGACAGGUGAGAAUCCUGUCCACCGUAUGACUAAGGUUUCCUGGGGAAGGCUCGUCCGCCCAGGGUUAGUCGGGACCUAAGCCGAGGCCGACAGGCGUAGGCGAUGGACAACAGGUUGAUAUUCCUGUACCCGUUGUUUUUGUUUGAGCAAUGGAGGGACGCAGGAGGCUAAGAAGUGCAGACUGAUGGAUAUGUCUGUUCAAGCAGUGAGUCUUAGUGGGAGUCAAAUGCUUCUACUUUUAAGGACAAGCUGUGAUGAGGAGGGAAAUAAUAGUACCGAAGCUUCUGAUGUCACACUGCCAAGAAAAGCUUCUAGUGAGAAAACAAUGGCCCGUACCGCAAACCGACACAGGUAGUCGAGGAGAGCAUCCUAAGGUGAGCGAGAGAACUCUCGUUAAGGAACUCGGCAAAAUGACCCCGUAACUUCGGGAGAAGGGGUGCUGCUCUAACGAGCAGCCGCAGUGAAUAGGCCCAAGCGACUGUUUAUCAAAAACACAGGUCUCUGCAAAAUCGAAAGAUGACGUAUAGGGGCUGACGCCUGCCCGGUGCUGGAAGGUUAAGAGGAGUGCUUAGCGUAAGCGAAGGUACGAAUUGAAGCCCCAGUAAACGGCGGCCGUAACUAUAACGGUCCUAAGGUAGCGAAAUUCCUUGUCGGGUAAGUUCCG
rnacentral:rRNA from 1 species